CUCUGGUGUUGAAGGCCCUGCAAAGCAGCAUCGCGGUGGCGGAGCGUCGUUUGCGACGCCCAACACACAAAACAAGCGGUGAGUGCUUUGGGGUGGGGUGACUGCGUACCUUUUGUAUAAUGGGUCAGCGACUUAUAUUCUGUAGCAAGGUUAACCGAAUAGGGGAGCCGGAGGGAAACCGAGUCUUAAUUGGGCGUUAAGUUGCAGGGUAUAGACCCGAAACCCGGUGAUCUAGCCAUGGGCAGGUUGAAGGUUGGGUAACACUAACUGGAGGACCGAACCGACUAAUGUUGAAAAAUUAGCGGAUGACCUGUGGCUGGGGGUGAAAGGCCAAUCAAACCGGGAGAUAGCUGGUUCUCCCCGAAAGCUAUUUAGGUAGCGCCUCGUGAAUUCAUCUCCGGGGGUAGAGCACUGUUUCGGCUAGGGGGCCAUCCCGGCUUACCAACCCGAUGCAAACUGCGAAUACCGGAGAAUGUUAUCACGGGAGACACACGGCGGGUGCUAACGUCCGUCGUGAAGAGGGAAACAACCCAGACCGCCAGCUAAGGUCCCAAAGUCAUGGUUAAGUGGGAAACGAUGUGGGAAGGCCCAGACAGCCAGGAUGUUGGCUUAGAAGCAGCCAUCAUUUAAAGAAAGCGUAAUAGCUCACUGGUCGAGUCGGCCUGCGCGGAAGAUGUAACGGGGCUAAACCAUGCACCGAAGCUGCGGCAGCGAACGUAUCACUUAAAGCGAUUCAGCGGGUUACGAUUGACGGAGCGAAGCGACGUCAAAGCGUAUACAAAGUCGAGUCGGUUUAAGGAUACGUUCG
rnacentral:rRNA from 1 species